UGCGGAGGAUCCUAGCGUUAUCCGGAUUUAUUGGGUUUAAAGGGUGCGCAGGCGGGAGAUUAAGUCGGCGGUGAAAUUUUGCAGCUCAACUGUAAAAGUGCCUUCGAAACUGGUUUCCUUGAGUGUAGAUGAAGUAGGCGGAAUUUGUGGUGUAGCGGUGAAAUGCAUAGAUAUCACGAGGAACUCCGAUUGCGCAGGCAGCUUACUAAACUACUACUGACGCUCAGGCACGAAGGCGUGGGGAUCAAACAGGAUUAGAUACCCU
rnacentral:rRNA from 1 species